UCUGAUUGAAGAGGUCAGGAGUGACACAUAACAGCCUCUCAGCCUCAUUUCCAUGUCUCUGCUUACCGGCUUAAAUAAAUAACUUUAAUUUUGGAGCACGUCAGCUAACUCAGCACAACACAACUGUUGGAGUUUCGGGAGACAGUGGGGCAAGUCUGCCAGCGGUCACAGACAGGAGUUUGCAAGGAGCCCAGAAGGGCCAGCAAGCCCGCCAUCAAAGCUCAGUAUUCAGAUGGCCUUUCAGAUGGCAAAGUGAAUUUUAAAAUAAUAUCAGAGGGACUUCCAUCGUAGGGGGAGGGGA